rnacentral:rRNA from 1 species
UGGCCUUGACAUACUAAGAACUUUCCAGAGAUUGGAGUUGGUGCCUUCGGGAACUUAGAUACGGGUGCUGCAUGGCUGUCGUCAGCUCGUGUCGUGAGAUGUUGGGUUAAGUCCCGNAACGAGCGCAACCCUUUUCUAUUGCCAGCGGGUCAUGCCGGGAACUUUAAGGAUACUGCCAGUGACAAACUGGAGGAAGGCGGGGACGACGUCAAGUCAUCAUGGCCCUUACGGCCAGGGCUACACACGUGCUACAAUGGUCGGUACAAAGGGUUGCUACCUCGCGAGAGGAUGCUAAUCUCAAAAAGCCGAUCGUAGUCCGGAUCGCAGUCUGCAACUCGACUGCGUGAAGUCGGAAUCGCUAGUAAUCGCGGAUCAGAAUGCCGCGGUGAAUACGUUCCCGGGCCUUGUACACACCGCCCGUCACACCAUGGGAGUUUGUUGCACCAGAAGUAGGUAGUCUAACCGCAAGGAGGACGCUUACCACGGUGUGGCCGAUGACUGGGGUGAAGUCGUAACAAGGUAGGCGUAGAUGA